UCCGUUAUGGUCUAGGUAAGCUCAACCACCACAACCUCCUCAAAAACAAUCACUAACAUCCUCCAAGUGGCUAGGAUUUGUCGCUCUCAUCUGUUCGCAGCAGUGCCGACAAGGCCGGGGUUCAAUUCCCCGUGACGGAA